CGGGCUGCCGCAGUCCCGGCGCCGCAGAGUCCGGCGCUGGUGCGGGGCGCCCACCGACACCCGCGCCCACGGCUCGUCGGGGCGGGCCGCAGAGCCCGGGGGGAGCCGCCGCCCUCCCGACGUCCCUCGGCGCUCCGUUCCCGCGCGCGGUCGCCGGCUGAGGCGCGAGGGCCGCGCGUCGAGGCGCGGGAGGGCGGGACGGGGCGCGCGCCCCCCGGCCCGCGGAGGUCGUCUCGCGCGGGCGCACGCGCCGCAGCCGCGCGGGGCGGGGAGGGUGGGUGUGCUCGGGGCGCGCGCGCCGCCGCCGCCGCCUCAGCUUGCUGCUCCGCCCGCGCCGCCUGCUCCCGGCGCUCGGCCCCAGCACGCCGGCUCCCGAGCGGCCAUGGGCGGCGCGGGGCCCGCGGUGUAGAGUCCGCCAGCCCCGGACCCGCGUCCCGCACCCUGACGGUCCCGAGCCAUGGGGGUGUUGAUGUCCAAGCGGCAGACAGUGGAGCAGGUGCAAAAGGUGAGCCUGGCUGUGUCUGCCUUCAAAGAUGGGCUGCGGGAUAGGCCUUCCAUCCGACGCACAGGUGAGCUUUCGGGGUCUCGCCGUGGCACGGUAGAGGGCUCUGUCCAGGAAGUGCAGGAAGAGAAAGAAGCAGAGGCAAGCACCCCAGCACUCCAAGAAGAGAGCAGUGUCAACCGUGCCGCCUGGGAGAGGCUCCGGGACGGGCGUGGAGUGGAGCCAGAGGAGUUUGACAGGACCAGUCGUUUCACACCUCCUGCCUUCAUCCGCCCCACCCGGAAGCUGGAUGAUGACAAGCCUCCAGAUAUCUACUUGGAGCCCAGAGAGCCUGUCAUUAAUGAUGAGAUGUGUGAUGUCUGUGAGGUCUGGACGGCCGAGAGCCUCUUCCCAUGCAGGGUCUGCACCAGGGUCUUCCAUGAUGGCUGCCUGCGCCGCAUGGGCUACAUCAAAGGAGACAGUGCCGCGGAGGUGACCGAGAUGGCCCACACGGAAACAGGCUGGAGCUGCCACUACUGUGACAACCUCAACUUGCUGCUAACUGAGGAGGAAAUGUACAGCCUCACAGAGACUUUUCAGCAGUGUAAAGUUAUCCCUGAUUGCUCCCUGACACUGGAGGACUUCCUGCGCUACCGCCACCAAACAGCGAAGCGAGGGGACAGUGACAGGGCUCUAAGUGAGGAGCAAGAGGAGCAGGCAGCCCGCCAGUUUGCAGCCCUGGACCCUGAACACCGAGGACACAUAGAGUGGCCUGAUUUCUUGUCCCAUGAGUCCCUCCUUCUUCUACAGCAAUUGCGUCCCCAGAACUCUCUGUUAAGGCUUCUGACAGUCAAGGAGCGGGAGCGAGCCCGAGCCGCCUUCCUGGCCCGGGGCAGCGGGAGCACUGUCAGUGAGGCAGAGUGCCGCCGUGCCCAGCACUCUUGGUUCUGCAAACGCCCCCCAGAGGCUCCUUCCUGCAGCGUCAGCGUCAGCCAUGUGGGUCCCAUAGCAGACAGCAGCCCAGACAGCAGCAGCAGCAAGAGUCAGGACAAGGCCCCGCUGCCCAUAGAGCCUGAGUCCAGAUUUGUGGACUGGCCUACCUUCCUGCAGGAGAAUGUCGUCUACAUCUUGGCUGCUCGCCCCAACAGUGCAGCCAUUCACCUGAAACCCCCAGGAUAGCAUGGAGCAGAAAAGCUCAGUUUGGGGACAGUGGCGUUCUCUCCCUCCUUUCCUUUCUCCCUUCCCCCACCAACCUCUGGCACUGAGACUUCUGGGGAUGGAGCACUGCCCACAUCUCAGUUUGUCACUAAGCUUUAUGGCACUGAAAUCACCAUUGCCCUCACAACAGAGGCAGUAAAUGCAUUGCCCCAGGGAGAAGCCCUGGGGGCUGUGGCAGCAUCCGCUCCUGGACCACCCCCUGCCCUCACACCAUAGACUGGAUCUGCCGUUGCGCACAUACACGCGUGCACACACUUGCACACGUGCCUAGCUGCCCAUGCCUUCAGAGACGUGGCUCUUUUUGGUUGAAGAAGGACCAAAGUUCUUUCAUGAAGCCCCUACUAUAGAUAAGGGGAUCUCUACUCAGCCCUUCUGUUGGCCAGUUCUGAUUUACAAUAGAUCCGUCUCUGGCCAAGUGAUUCUUAAUAAGGGGGCAUAUCAGACUCACAUACUCUCCUAGAGAUGCUCCCUCUUCCCACACUGAAAAUCCCUUCUUGGUUGAGCCGCUGUUCUGGAAGGUGUGUGCUGUGUCCCUCAGGUGGGGUGGGAAAAUGGUUGAAAACCACCACUGCACUUAUUAUUUAUUUAUUACUUAUUUAAAUUCCAGCUCCUGGUGACAGAGAAGGCAGCUAGUCUGUGGAGUCCUAAUUAGAAAAGGGGGGGCAGCCCCUCCCAGGUACCUGGAAUUCUAGGUACCUCUCAGCCAGGUCAUUCAAGUCCAAAAGUCUUUAUUUAGCAGAACAGUCAAAAAUCAAGGUGAGCCAUCCUGGCCCCUGUUUUUUAGGUGGGUGCUCAUGGCCCAGAGCCCAAGGGUCUGAAUGGAACAAGUAUGCCGGCAAGAGUCACAGCUCUCUGGGUUAGGUGCUUCACCCAACUCAGCUACCACAGAGACCCAAAGCCUGAACUCCAGUGAAGACAAGGCCUGGAUGGAAGAGGAGAGGAGAAGGCUCAUGCUUUUCCAUUCUUCCAGCUCAGCUCAACUGCAGGCCUAGAAAAGUGUGCCAAGGUGUGGAGCACAGGCAGGCUCCUCCAUAGCCCAAGAGAGAGCAACUCCACCAAGGCCCUAAACAGGGAUUCCUUCCAAAGCACCUGACAGUGAGGUUAAGAGGUUGGAGCUAAGAAGAGGAUUUGCAUCUCAGCUCUCUUGAACAGAGAAAGUCCCAGCAAAGCCUCACAGAAGGAAGAGUCAUAAGGAUUGGAAGUCCCUCUUCUUGAUCCCUGAUCCUUCACAGACCAAGGGGAUGCCUACCUCUCUGGAGCUGCAGCUUCUAGCUUUCUGUGGGUGAGUGGUAAAGACUGGGGGCCACUGGAUCAGGCCAGCUGUAUUCCAGGGUCUGGCACAGCAGGCCCCAGAGUUUUUCCACAACAGGAUCUGACCCAUUUGGGAUCACCCCCUUCCUAUUCCAAGAUGGCAAGCUUCCUUAGUGGGGGGGUACUGCAAAGGGUCCGGGGGACACUGCCCUCAGCAAAGGAUAGAGUGCCCAGUCACAAGAGUCCUAGGAAGCAAAAAAGCACGGAGAAGCAACUGGCCUCUUCUCCAUAGGCAUCUAGCUUUUCCCCAAAGGAGAGGUUCCAUUGCUCCCUCAGUCAAGAGCUGCAGAAGCUCCACCCCAGCCCCCCUUUCUGAGAUCUCCCUUUGCAGUAUCCUAAUCCACGAAGCCCCUCUCUAGUACGUAUGGAGACAUUCAAACUUUUGUAAACCUAGUGAAGUCAAUUUCCUUUCCUUUUCAAGCCCUUUCAUCAUUGUGACUGUCUGAAAUUCUGCCAAGUACAGAAAUUAGUGUCUGAUUCUAAUAAGAGUAUAAGAAAAUGUUUUAGUCUUUUCUUCUUGGAUGCCCAAAAUUGCAGAGAUCAGUUCUUUUCCCAAGCACUACUCACCCCACCCCCAGCCAAGGGAGGCUGAAGGUUACACAGAUGCUUCUCUGAAGACUACUUGCCCUAAGUCUGUUUUUCACCCAGCAGUCCUCUUCUCCAUGCUCACAUUUAAAGACAGGGGCACCUGGAUGACACAGUGGAACUUCAGUGACAGAGGGUUAGCUGAGGCAAUAGCUGUGGCCAUGUAACCUCUUCAGGUCUGUGCCAUGGCAUCCUCUCCUGAGAUCAGCCUUCCCCAAUAGAUUCAGGCUCUUUGCUUUUGAGAAAUGGUCCCCUUUGAUCCCAGGGAUGGAGCAGUUUCCUCAGCAGUUUCUUGACCGCUUUCAAGAGCUUUUCCUUUGAUGACAGCCACGGCUGAACCCAUGAGCACAUUGCCUCUUUCUGUCCUCAGCCUAAGCAACUGUGGCUACAGGCCAGACACUGGCCUUUCUGGUCCUGGUGCUCCUUAUGGGAUGUCACCUUGGCCUUAUUGGAGUGCCAAAUAUAGGGGUCCUGCAUUCCUAUCAACAACAUGGGAAGCACAGAAUCAAAUCACCUAGGAAGAGGGCACCUCCCUGGGGGGGUGGGUUCAGGAUUGUAUUGAGGCCUCUGAGCCUCAACCUCAACCAUUGCAGGUCUUGUGGCUUCAGUAAACCUGGUGCCAAGAAACCCUAAAGGCAAGAGGGAAGCUCAGAAGAAGCUGUUUGGCAGGGUCCCAGGCCAGCCAUCACCACCACAAAGCCAAGGGUAACCUCCAGGUUGAACUGAUGGCAGGCUCUGGUGAUCCUGCAGGCAUGUCCCCUUCAAACCAGCAGAGAAAUGGCAGAUACAUACUUGGUGUUUAAAAGGCAAAAGAACAUUGAUGCCAGAACUUCAGGACAUCCAGGCAGCACCUGUAACCAUAACUUUACCCCUCUAUUUACAGUGGAAUAAAAUUGCUGCUUUCUCCACACCACUUAGUUUGAAUUUGCCCAGAAUCUCUCUCUAGGCCCUUAGCGACAGCCCAGACAACAAAGAUCUCUUUGAGUGGGGGAUAUUAAUGCAUCAUGCCGUUCCCAGCAGCCCACCCUUGGUGUGGGGUGGGACUGGGCAUUUUCCCUGCUCUUGCUUUCCUGCUGCCACUGCUUUUGGCAACCUUGAAAGGAAAGAAAAUGAACAGGUUACAGAAUCUCCAAUAGACCCCACUAGCACUAAGGAAAAACUUUCUUCCCUCUGGGCCACAUGCCUCAAUGACCCAGAUCAGGGAGAGGGUGUCAGGUCUGCUCAGGCCAGUGACAAAGAAGCCCAAUCACAUUCCAGUUUGUAUAGCAUGGGUUGGCAUGACCACAGGUGAGAAUAUCAAUGUAUAAGUUGCAAGACCUUUCCAUAUCCAUGGUGAAACAAAAGCCAUCAGGCUUAGCCUCCUAUAAAAGAUGGCCUCUAAUCUGUCUCCUGGCCAAAGACAGGCUUAUGAGAAGAGCUCUGAGAGCACUCAAGUAACAGUGGAGGAUCCAAUGGCCUCUGGUCCCUCAUGCCCUUCCUGUGUGCUUUU